ACGUGAUCUGACUCUCCCAGCUCUCUCUCUCUCUCUCUUUUCCAGCUGGCUACAUUGUAAUACACAUCCACAGCACGCUCACUCUCACGCUCGCUCUGCCUCUCCUCACACAGACUACUUAGCGCGUUGGAGGGAGGACUGAGGCUCGCACUAUCAGCACAGCUUCUCAAUGAGGGGACGGCGCCAAGAGCACACAGAGCAGUCAUUCCGCCGGAGCCUUCCGCCACACGCCAGAGGAGACCACCACAAGUAAUCCCCCUGUCAUCACAACAUAGGAGUGGUACUGACAGACUGGAUGAAGGAGAGGAUGCACAUAUGUGGCUGAUGCAGCACUGACAUGAUCAGCCUCCCAUCACUUCCAUCCCGGCAACUUUGUGACACUGCCCAGCCCUGCCCGCUUUUUUAGGGGGUGGGGGGGAGUCCAGAGAAGAGGAGAGUCACACAAGAACAAUAUUCAGAGAAUUUUGUGCAGCGUGGGGGGCUCUUCUGGUGCUGGAAUUUGAGGUGGGAGUCCCUUUGUUCAAAGUAUGGAUGGAUUUAAGACAGAGGAGUGAGUCUGCUGGGCAGGCAGGCAGGGACACUGACUGAGCUCCUUUUUAUUCCCAACACACUGCUCAGACUCGGCCUCGCCAUGUCCUGGUUCUUGGUCAUGUGGAUUAGCCUGGGCUUCCUGCUGUUGUGCCAGGCCACGCUCUACCAGACCAUCCAACAGCACCACAUGGCCCGUCCCGGUCACACUGACAUCCUCACCCUGGAGGGAGGAACGUGUGAGGUGAUUGCUGCCCACCGAUGCUGUAACAAGAAUCGUAUCGAAGAGCGUUCUCAAACAGUCAAGUGCUCCUGUUUACCGGGAAAAGUGGCUGGAACAACGCGCAACAAACCCUCCUGUGUGGAUGCAUCCAUUGUGAUUGGGAAAUGGUGGUGUGAGAUGGAACCAUGUCUGGAAGGAGAGGAGUGUAAGACUCUGCCUGACAACUCUGGAUGGAUGUGUUCCUCUGGAAACAAAAUCAAAACCACAAGGAACACCCAGCCAUACUCCCCUUUUUAGCUUCCGGAAGCAAAAUGCAGAGGAUGCGUCAACAGAAAUUGAGCUGCAUUGUUGCUUCUGUAAAGAUUCAUCCCAGGACCUAACAGCAAGAUUCCAUUGGACAGCUGCGUGUCAGGCUCAUCCGCUCAUCUAUCCUUUCUCUUCCCACCGACGACUGGACUAAACUGAUUACAAGUAUGGCUCCCGACUGGAUUACCUGGGCCCAUGGAAAGGAUAUCCACCCAGAUAAAAGCAGCUUUGCUGACGUGGUGUAGAGGAUUUGAAACCAGACUAAUCCCGUUUGAUCAACGGGCACCGGAUUGGUGACUCCUCUUUUCCACACAGCUGUGGCUGGUUUCCAACCACCUCUCUCCGUUUCCCUCGCUGUGUUUUCCUGUCAAAACUGAAACAUCAUAGCGGGGAAAACAUAGAGAUGAUUGCCCCACCCACUCAAAGGCAAACUGGCUGUGGAGACUAUAUGGAGCUGAACUUGUGAUCCAGAAAACUGAGGGAGCAUGGGGAGAAUUUACCUUGGCACCCUUUUAUUUCCUGAGUGGAAGGCAUUUGGUUGACUGACUACCACAAUGGGAUGGCUUUGUUACACUUGCAGAGAGGAAAUUUAUUUGAAAAACAGACUUUUCAGUGAAAGAAACCACUGGCAGCCUUGUAUGAAUUAAUGGAGAAUCCAUCAUCAGUGAUUGACAUUUCAAUUUGACGCCUUGUGGCAAUGCCCAGUGUAUAUUGUUGAGCACUUCUUUUAUCUGAAAUAUAAUUUCUGUAUAUAUACCUACAAAUAUGAUACAUAUGAGAAGAAAAAUCCAAGAAUAUGAAAAAUUAUAUUCAAGACACUUUUCAGUGACGGACUAUUCUUCAGCCCCUAACUACAGGUACAGUACAUACCUUAAUGGGGCUGUCAUUUGGGAAUGUACAGGACAGCUUCACACUACAUCAGGAAAAUGACAGAAAAAUAAUGCUUUGGUCAAUUUUGUCAUUCAGCAGUUAUCAUUGGAGCCAGAAAAUACCUGUAGUUUCUGUACAGAUGCUGAAAUAAAUGUGAAGAACUGCCUUCCAAUAAGACAGCAGCACUAAUUCUUCAGCUUUCCAAACAAAGGUGGAUUUAACGGAAUAAUUUGUGUAUUUCUUUUGAGAAUGGCCAUUUAUGAUACUUGAUCGUGUCUGUUAUGUAAAGGCCAGUCUUUAUUAGUCUGCUGCUGGAUGUCAGUGUCGCUUUUGUCCGGCGCAGAGAAAACAAUGAAUGGGUAAUAAAACAGCACAGACGCUUUUUGACGCCUGCCAGAUUGUAAAGGCCAAUUUUCAAUACUACACUGCUGGACAUCAGCAUUGCUUUUGGACAUGUGCAGAAUUGCUGUAGGGGAGAUGCAUCUUGUACAAAAAAGGAAAAUUCAUCAAUAAAAACAUUAAUAUCGAUGA